rnacentral:rRNA from 1 species
CAGCCGCCGCGGAAUACGAAGGGUGCAAGCGUUAAUCGGAAUUACUGGGCGUAAAGCGUGCGUAGGCGGUGAGUUAAGUCUGCUGUGAAAUCCCCGGGCUCAACCUGGGAAUGGCAGUGGAUACUGGCUCGCUAGAGUGUGUCAGAGGAUGGUGGAAUUCCCGGUGUAGCGGUGAAAUGCGUAGAGAUCGGGAGGAACAUCAGUGGCGAAGGCGGCCAUCUGGGACAACACUGACGCUGAGGCACGAAAGCGUGGGGAGCAAACAGGAUUAGAUACCCGCGUAGUCCCUGUCUCUUAUACA